rnacentral:rRNA from 1 species
UUUAGAGGAAGUAAAAGUCGUAACAAGGUUUCCGUAGGUGAACCUGCGGAAGGAUCAUUACUGAGUAUUCGGCUCCCGCCAGGGACCGGUUACCCGACCUUUUGUCAUUUGCUCCGAACAGCUCGGUGCCUGGUGCUGGCUUGUCCGGUCCAGCCUGAGACUUCGGUAUCCAUUACUUCGGCGGAAGUGGUAGGCGCCCUCCGGGGCGACCUGCCCGCCGCCGGCCGUAUUCCAAACUCUUGCGAAGAAAUUUGAAGUCUGAAAAGCGCUGCGAGAGCAGUAAAAACGAAAAGCAAAACUUUCAACAACGGAUCUCUUGGCUCUGGCAACGAUGAAGAACGCAGCGAAACGCGAAAGGUAAUGCGAAUUGCAGAAUUCAGUGAAUCAUCGAAUCUUUGAACGCACAUUGCGCCCCUCGGUAUUCCGUGGGGCAUGCCUGUUCGAGCGUCAUCUACACCCUCAAGCUCUGCUUGGUGUUGGGCGUCUGUCCCGCCUCCGCGCGUGGACUCGCCCCAAAUUCAUUGGCAGCGGUCCUUGCCUCCUCUCGCGCAGCACAUUGCGCUUCUCGAGGGGCUACGGCUCGCGUCCAACAAGCACAUUUACCGUCUUUGACCUCGGAUCAGGUAGGGAUACCCGCUGAACUUAAGCAUAUCAAUAAG